UACAGAGGGUGCGAGCGUUGUCCGGAAUCACUGGGCGUAAAGGGCGCGUAGGCGGCCUGAUAAGUAGGGGGUGAAAUCCUGUGGCUUAACUGCAGGGCUGCCUCCUAGACUGUUAGGCUCGAGCACGGUAGAGGCAGAUGGAAUUCCCGGUGUAGCGGUGAAAUGCGCAGAUAUCAGGAAGAACACCCGUGGCGAAGGCGGCUCUCUGGGACGGUACUGACGCUGAGACGCGAAAGCGUGGGGAGCGAACAGG
rnacentral:rRNA from 1 species